rnacentral:misc_RNA from 1 species
GGAAGGAUCAUUAACACGUUGCCUAAACAACGUAAACCAACGGUUGGCUUACUGCGGUGUAAUGAUUUUUUUCUUUUUCCCUUAACGGGACGAAGACAAAGUCUGACGCGGUGGGUAGUUGCGCUCCCUUUUUUACCCUGUGUAUUGUCUGUACAACUUUUCGGUUGUAAAAGUAUUAAAAAAAAAAUACAACUCUUAGCAACGGAUAUCUAGGCUCUCGUAUCGAUGAAGAACGCAGCGAAAUGCGAUACGUAAUGCGAAUUGCAGAAUUCAGUGAAUCAUCAAAUCUUUGAACGCAACUUGCGCUCUUGGGUUAUGCCUGGGAGCAUGCCUCUCUGAGUAUCACCUUCACAACAACUCGGCUGCGUGCCGGAAAUUGACGUGUCUGCGAGGGCGCCCUUUUGGGGGCGGUCUUUGUAGUCCGCCUAAGCUUAGUGUGGUGGCUUCUUGUGUUUCUUCUGGACACUUAUGGCUGCUCAUGUGCGGUAGUUUUCGCAUGGAAAUUGCGAAGCAAUAAUUCCACACAUUUGGUAUGCGGUCGUCUGGUUGCGAUGCUUGUAGUUCUCACAAACUAGGAAAAAAACAAAGGGCAGAAUUUUUCUGCCCCUUAACAUUGAUCUCAGAUGAAGCAGGAAUACCCGCCGAAUUUAAGCAUAUUAUUAAGCGGAGGAAAAGAAACUAACAAGGAUUCCCCUAGUAACGGCGAGUGAAGCGGGAAUGGCUCAACCUGAAAAUCGUCGUGCCAAGCGGUACGUUCGAAUUGUGGGCUAGAGGUGGCUUAUCAGCGCGUGGCCCGGGUACAAGUCUUUUGGAACGAAGUAUCACAGAGGGUGAGAAUCCCGUCUCUGACCCGGAGUCCGCCGCGUACGAGGGCUGCUCAUUGAGUCGAAUAGCUUGGGAAUGCUGUUCUAAUGGGAGGUAAAUUUCUUCUAAAGCUAAAUACCGACGAGAGACCGAUAGCAAACAAGUACCGCGAGGGAAAGAUGAAAAGAACUUUGAAAAGAGAGUUAAAAAGUACUUGAAAUUGCUAAGAGGUAAGCACUGAAAACCAGUUGGGCCUGAUGCAUAUUCCCGUUUGGCGGUUUGACUGAUUCUUGACUGAGACCCUCCGGCCCAGUUGCUAUCAGAUUAAGUUGUCCAGGCGGCCACAAUGUAUCGGGUAUGUCAGCAUCAGUUCGGGCUGGAGCAGAAGGUUGUGGUCAAGGUAGUUUGUAUCUUCGGAUGCAAAAACUAACAUGGGCUGCAGUUCUUAUAUACUCUGGUGACCAGACUGAGGAAAAAGCUAAUGCACGCCUGCUGGCUGCAUUGUGUAUGCCCUGCGGCCGCAUCUGGUCUUUCAGCACAAAGUGCUAGAGGUUUUGAUGAGGUUGUACUGGUUUAUACAAUGACAUGUGCGUUCGCGAUGUUGACAAAAUGGUUUUCAAUGGAUCGUCUUGAAACACGGACCAAGGAGUCUAACAUAUAUGCGAGUAUUUGGGUGAACAAAACCCUGAUGCGUAAUGAAAGUGAAAGUGACAACUUUGUUGUCGCCGAGGUAGGAACCGUUGAUCUUUCGGGAUUGGCGGAGCACUAUCGACCGAUCGCUCACUUGUGAGAGAUUCGAGUAAGAGCAUAUCUGUUGGGACCCGAAAGAUGGUGAACUAUGCCUGAGCAGAUCGAGGCCAGGGGAAACCCUGGUGGAGGAUCGUAGCGAUACUGACGUGCAAAUCGUUCGUCUGACUUGGGUAUAGGGGCGAAAGACUAAUCGAACCAUUUAGUAGCUGGUUCCCUC